rnacentral:lncRNA from 1 species
UGGAAUCCCUUCAGUCUUGGCAAGUCUCUAAUAUCAACACUCAAAACAUAUGCAUGUUCAAAUCAAAAGGUCUUUUAUGGUUGUAAUGGGCCAAGGACAAGGGAGGAUAAGUAUGGAUCAGAAGCUACAAACCAUAAGAAAUAGAGGAGCAAUGGGGAACAAGUGAAACACAAUCAAAUCACACCCAAAACCUCUAAUUUAAUCGUCUUCUUGACUCCAUUAUUAAAAUGAUUUUUUUUUUAAUUUUUUUCUCAUUUUUUUUGGCAUUUUUUUUUCAUCUAGUCUCUUUUUUUUUCUCUCUUUUCAAAACACAAC